rnacentral:rRNA from 1 species
CAGGUUUACCUGUGUGACUGCGUACCUUUUGUAUAAUGGGUCAGCGACUUAUAUUCUGUAGCAAGGUUAACCGUAUAGGGGAGCCGGAGGGAAACCGAGUCUUAACCGGGCGUUAAGUUGCAGGGUAUAGACCCGAAACCCGGUGAUCUAGCCAUGGGCAGGUUGAAGGUUGGGUAACACUAACUGGAGGACCGAACCGACUAAUGUUGAAAAAUUAGCGGAUGACCUGUGGCUGGGGGUGAAAGGCCAAUCAAACCGGGAGAUAGCUGGUUCUCCCCGAAAGCUAUUUAGGUAGCGCCUCGUGAAUUCAUCUCCGGGGGUAGAGCACUGUUUCGGCUAGGGGGCCAUCCCGGCUUACCAACCCGAUGCAAACUGCGAAUACCGGAGAAUGUUAUCACGGGAGACACACGGCGGGUGCUAACGUCCGUCGUGAAGAGGGAAACAACCCAGACCGCCAGCUAAGGUCCCAAAGUCAUGGUUAAGUGGGAAACGAUGUGGGAAGGCCCAGACAGCCAGGAUGUUGGCUUAGAAGCAGCCAUCAUUUAAAGAAAGCGUAAUAGCUCACUGGUCGAGUCGGCCUGCGCGGAAGAUGUAACGGGGCUAAACCAUGCACCGAAGCUGCGGCAGCGAACGUAUCACCCAAGACAACUUUACGGAGUUGACGAUUGACGGAGCGAAGCGACGUCAAAGCGUUCAUUAAAGUCGAGUUGGCUUAGGGAUACGUUCGUUGGGUAGGGGAGCGUUCUGUAAGCCUGUGAAGGUGGCCUGUGAGGGUUGCUGGAGGUAUCAGAAGUGCGAAUGCUGACAUAAGUAACGAUAAAGCGGGUGAAAAGCCCGCUCGCCGGAAGACCAAGGGUUCCUGUCCAACGUUAAUCGGGGCAGGGUGAGUCGACCCCUAAGGCGAGGCCGAAAGGCGUAGUCGAUGGGAAACGGGUUAAUAUUCCCGUACUUGGUGUUACUGCGAAGGGGGGACGGAGAAGGCUAUGUUGGCCGGGCGACGGUUGUCCCGGUUUAAGCGUGUAGGUGUGUGUUCCAGGUAAAUCCGGUUCACUUUAACACUGAGGCGUGAUGACGAGGCACUACGGUGCUGAAGCAACAAAUGCCCUGCUUCCAGGAAAAGCCUCUAAGCAUCAGGUAACAUCAAAUCGUACCCCAAACCGACACAGGUGGUCAGGUAGAGAAUACCAAGGCGCUUGAGAGAACUCGGGUGAAGGAACUAGGCAAAAUGGUGCCGUAACUUCGGGAGAAGGCACGCUGACACGUAGGUGAAGUGAUUUACUCACGGAGCUGAAGUCAGUCGAAGAUACCAGCUGGCUGCAACUGUUUAUUAAAAACACAGCACUGUGCAAACACGAAAGUGGACGUAUACGGUGUGACGCCUGCCCGGUGCCGGAAGGUUAAUUGAUGGGGUCAGCGCAAGCGAAGCUCCUGAUCGAAGCCCCGGUAAACGGCGGCCGUAACUAUAACGGUCCUAAGGUAGCGAAAUUCCUUGUCGGGUAAGUUCCGACCUGCACGAAUGGCGUAAUGAUGGCCAGGCUGUCUCCACCCGAGACUCAGUGAAAUUGAACUCGCUGUGAAGAUGCAGUGUACCCGCGGCAAGACGGAAAGACCCCGUGAACCUUUACUAUAGCUUGACACUGAACAUUGAGCCUUGAUGUGUAGGAUAGGUGGGAGGCUUUGAAGUGUGGACGCCAGUCUGCAUGGAGCCGACCUUGAAAUACCACCCUUUAAUGUUUGAUGUUCUAACGUGGACCCGUAAUCCGGGUUGCGGACAGUGUCUGGUGGGUAGUUUGACUGGGGCGGUCUCCUCCUAAAGAGUAACGGAGGAGCACGAAGGUUGGCUAAUCCUGGUCGGACAUCAGGAGGUUAGUGCAAUGGCAUAAGCCAGCUUGACUGCGAGCGUGACGGCGCGAGCAGGUGCGAAAGCAGGUCAUAGUGAUCCGGUGGUUCUGAAUGGAAGGGCCAUCGCUCAACGGAUAAAAGGUACUCCGGGGAUAACAGGCUGAUACCGCCCAAGAGUUCAUAUCGACGGCGGUGUUUGGCACCUCGAUGUCGGCUCAUCACAUCCUGGGGCUGAAGUAGGUCCCAAGGGUAUGGCUGUUCGCCAUUUAAAGUGGUACGCGAGCUGGGUUUAGAACGUCGUGAGACAGUUCGGUCCCUAUCUGCCGUGGGCGCUGGAGAACUGAGGGGGGCUGCUCCUAGUACGAGAGGACCGGAGUGGACGCAUCACUGGUGUUCGGGUUGUCAUGCCAAUGGCACUGCCCGGUAGCUAAAUGCGGAAGAGAUAAGUGCUGAAAGCAUCUAAGCACGAAACUUGCCCCGAGAUGAGUUCUCCCUGAGACUUAGAGUCUCCUGAAGGAACGUUGAAGACGACGACGUUGAUAGGCCGGGUGUGUAAGCGCAGCGAUGCGUUGAGCUAACCGGUACUAAUGAACCGUGAGGCUUAACCUUACAACGCCGAAG